UAAUACGGGGGGGACAAGCGUUGUUCGGAUUUACUGGGCGUAAAGAGCGCGUAGGCGGAUCUUCAAGUUGGAUGUGAAAACUAUUGGCUCAACUGAUAGCCUGCAUCCAAUACUGUUGAUCUUGAGUACAGGAGAGGAGAGCGGAAUUCCAGGUGUAGCGGUGAAAUGCGUAGAUAUCUGGAAGAACACCGGUAGCGAAGGCGGCUCUCUGGACUGAUACUGACGCUGAGGCGCGAAGGCUUGGGUAGCAAACAGGAUUAGAUACCCUGGUAGUCCAAGCGGUAAACGAUGGGUACUAGGUGUCGGGGGUAUCGACCCCCUCGGUGCCGCAGCUAACGCAUUAAGUACCCCGCCUGGGGAGUACGAUCGCAAGAUUG
rnacentral:rRNA from 1 species